GACGAACGCUGGCGGCGUGCCUAAUACAUGCAAGUAGGACGCAGUUGCGAACGGGUGAGUAACGCGUAGGUAACUACCUAUUAGAGGGGGAUAACUAUUGGAAACGAUAGCUAAUACCGCAUACUAUUAGAUGGACCUGCGUUGUAGUAGCUAGUAGGUAGGGGAAUGGACUCACUAGGCAACGAUACAUAGCCGACCAUAAGGUGUGAUCUGCCACUCUGGAGAUUGGACAAGGCCCCGACUCCCACGGGAGGCAGCAGUAGGGAAUCUUGGGCAAUGAAGGGAAGCCUGACCACGCAACGCCGCGUGAGUGAAGAAGGUUUUCGGAUAGUAAAGCUCUGUUGUUAAGGAAGCGGUACUUAGCCAGAAAGGGGCGGCUAACUACGUGCCAGCCGCCGCGGUAAUUC
rnacentral:rRNA from 1 species